rnacentral:lncRNA from 1 species
AAGCUUCUUAUCUCACAGUUCUGGAGCUGGGAAGUCAGAAAUCAAGGGAGUUUCUGUGGAAUGGAUGGUCAGUUGUGGAGCCUCACACUCAUGUAUUCUAAAAAAAGACCUAGGGAUUCAGAUUCUCAUUAGUCUUCUAAAUAUCUGAAUGCUACACUCUUCACUUGGUUUUCACUACAACACCAUCACUUCUUUAGCUGAAUGUUACAUAGCAGAAACAACAGACUGAAAGAAGUUUAAGCAGAAGUGUGGUCACUCACAGGAAGGCGUUGUUUUACAAAACAAGACUGUUCUGUUUCAGAUAAAUUCCUGAACUAGAGGAAGAAGUCCUUCAUCUCAAGGUGCUUACAUGUGAGGUUUUUGUAGGUAAUGAUGUACUGAGUAGAAGAAUGUAAUAGGCCAUGAUGAACUUGCUCAUGGCCAAUGACAAGAGAUCUGAUACCAACUCAAAAUGUUAGCUAAGCAACUGAAAUGGAAAUUACAAAGAGGAGGGCUUCGGUACAAGUCAGCUUUCCUGUUGUUGAGAAAAAACACCUGACACCUAUAACAUAAAGGAGGAGAGGUUUCAUCUGGCUUACAGUUUUGCAGGGAUUCAGUCCCUGCUCAGGUGGCUUCAAGGCAGAAGCAACACGGUGGAAAGGCCUGGUGGAGGAAAGCAGCUCACCUCAUGGCAGCCAGGAAGCUGUGGUGGGAGACAUACCCUCCAAAGUCAAGGCACAGCCCCAGUGACAUACCCUCCCUCCAGGCCCUACUUCCCAACAGUACAUUCAGCUAUGAACUCAUCAGUGUAUGAAUUCACUGAGGAGUAUAGGGGACCCAUGAUUCAACUGUUAGAUCAAAGCGUGAGAGCUUAGCAUUAUAGCCAAGUGUUACAGCCAGGCUACCUGAAGGUCUCUGUAGGUGAAGAAAUCGAGCAACACUCAGAGAGAUGGAGGGAACCCUUAUGAUGGUGGCAGACUCAAAGGACUUCAUACUCUAAAGUCUGAGCCCUGAACAGAAAUUUAAGCAACUUUAUAUAGAGAUCUAGGGGGCUAGGGGGUGGGCCCACCUACCAGGUGUAGCCUCAUAGGCCAUCACCAGUAGCUACAGGGUUAUAGUUUAGGUGAGCUCUCACCAGUAACUGAUGCACUGUCUUGUGAGAGCCUGAACUCAGUCUUGGAGGAACUCUGUGAAGCACCUGAACAGACAAGGGACGAACAUCAGCAACAGGAAGAUGGAGAUCAAGGUCCAGAGCAGAGGGGCAAACCAAGACAUCCAGUUACCCAGGAGAAACUCCAAAACUGGCUGGUUUGGGAUUGCUCCUGGAGUUUGGCAGCUCGGAGACUUUCUGCAGCCUGAUGAAUGAUGCCUGAUCGAUUAACACAGAAAUAGCGCUCUUCCUUGAGAAGGAUACAGUGUGAUCACAUUACAGUUUAAUAAAUGGACAGAAGGCAACUGUGAGGAAGGCAAGAAGAAAAGGAAAAUGGACUACAGUACAUAAACAUUAUUAUCUGAGAGAGACAAAAGUACAGUAAGGAAAGGAGGGAAAACUGGUCACAGG